rnacentral:rRNA from 1 species
AGACGAACUGCCGUUGACAAAACGGAGGAGGUGGGGAUGACGUCAAAUCAUCAUGCCCCUUAUGUUCUGGGGCUACACACGUGCUACAAUGGCCGGUACAGACGGAGGCGAAGCCGCGAGGCGGAGCAAAUCCGAAAAAGCCGGUCUCAGUUCGGAUUGCAGGCUGCAAUUCGCCUGCAUGAAGUCGGAAUCGCUAGUAAUCGCAGGUCAGCAUACUGCGGUGAAUACGUUCCCGGGCCUU